UAGGGGUAUGACAGAAAGUAGCUAGGGUUACGAGACAAACCAGAGACCGUUCUGCCAAGUUCAGCUCUCCUACAGUCCUCCCAUUUGCAUGUGAUACCCGGAGCCCUGAAACCCGGCAGCGGGAGGUCGGCUGGCCCAGGAACCCGGCAGCGGGAGGUCGGCUGGCCCUGAAACCCGGCAGCGGGAGGUCGGCUGGCCCUGAAACCCGGCAGCGGGAGGUCGGCUGGCCCUGAAACCCGGCAGCGGGAGGUCGGCUGGCCCUGAAACCCGGCAGCGGGAGGUCGGCUGGCCCUGAAACCCGGCAGCGGGAGGUCGGCUGGCCCUGAAACCCGGCAGCGGGAGGUCGGCUGGCCCUGAAACCCGGCAGCGGGAGGUCGGCUGGCCCUGAAACCCGGCAGCGGGAGGUCGGCUGGCCCUGAAACCCGGCAGCGGGAGGUCGGCUGGCCCUGAAACCCGGCAGCGGGAGGUCGGCUGGCCCUGAAACCCGGCAGCGGGAGGUCGGCUGGCCCUGAAACCCGGCAGCGGGAGGUCGGCUGGCCCUGAAACCCGGCAGCGGGAGGUCGGCUGGCCCUGAAACCCGGCAGCGGGAGGUCGGCUGGCCCUGAAACCCGGCAGCGGGAGGUCGGCUGGCCCUGAAACCCGGCAGCGGGAGGUCGGCUGGCCCUGAAACCCGGCAGCGGGAGGUCGGCUGGCCCUGAAACCCGGCAGCGGGAGGUCGGCUGGCCCUGAAACCCGGCAGCGGGAGGUCGGCUGGCCCUGAAACCCGGCAGCGGGAGGUCGGCUGGCCCUGAAACCCGGCAGUGGGAGGUCGGCUGGCCCUGAAACCUGGCAGCGGGAGAGAGCUGUGGUGUCCUGACCUCUGGCUGUUUGGAUGGAAUAAUAUAACACUUCACUUUUCCUCAGAGGCCAUUUUGUUUUCGAAAAGAAGAAAAACAUCAAUGAGCGUCUUGGACAAAAGCCUGUUGAACAAAAAUGUCUCAAAACAAAAACAAGGUCUGGUCAACAAAGAAAUGGAUCAAACAAAGUCUGGUCUUCAAGGACAUAGGGCUUGGCAGUAUACCGCAUUUUAUGAUAUACCGGUGUUGAUGCAGGGACCGGUUUGGGUUUUUACUUUACCUUCUAUACCAGUAUUUGAAUGUUUGUUUUUUUGAAUGUGAUACGCCACGUGAAAUGUAAAUUUUUAUUGUUAACUUCGCUUCUUGAGUCAUCUCUCUCCGCUCUUUAUCUCUGUGCCACUUUCCACACAGAACUAGCCACGCCCCCUGUCACUCAAGGAGCACAUUUCAUGUUCCUCAACCACGAGACACUUGCGUUCAGUCUGCAUUAGUGAUGGGCAUUCUGGCUCUUCUCAGUGAGUCGGCUCAUUCGGCUCAGCUCACCAAAAAUAGCCAGCUCUUUUGGCUCCCAAACGCCUCUUUAAAAAAUAUAUAUGUUUUGUAUUUUUUAAAGUCAAACAGUUUGAGAUAGUUUGACUAUGAUUGGUGUUAAAACAAAUUCGAAUGAAAUUAAAUCACACACUACCUUAACCACAAUGUAUUUAAAAAUGCAUUGGUUUGUUAUGGAAAAAUAAUGCUAUUAAACAUUUGCAUUUAAAGUAUAACCUUUUUAAUGUAUAUAAACAAAGUGCAUAUAAAUGUAGCAAUUCAAAAGGAAUACAAUCUGAAAAACAUAAUAAUUGAAUAUUGCACCAUAUCAAAGAGAAAUAAAUAACAAUGUGACAAACUGCAGCAUCACACUUAAAACAUUAAACUGGUCCCUCUUUUCUCUCUCUUCUUUAUUGCCAUGUUAUAACCAGCAGCACACAGCAAUGCUGACCAUAUUUAGCUUUUAUGAGAGAUUUGCAU